rnacentral:lncRNA from 1 species
CAGGGUUUGGGGACGUCAGGAUUCAGAGGGUUGUGGUCCCUCAGGUGGAAGAGAGCUCCAGGUUGAAGAGCACUGCUGGUCCUGGUUUGGAGGGCAUGCCCAGUGUGACCUUGGGUUGCAGCUGUUCUCAGAAACGAAGUGUGAUUGGGAGGCCCAGGUGCCUGGCCUUUCCCCUCCCCUUCCCCCAAUCUCCUCUGGCAUUUGUUUCCUUUCCAAAGCUGGACUGGAGUUUCAGACAGGGCAACA